CGCGGCCUAUCAGCUUGUUGGUGAGGUAAUGGCUCACCAAGGCUAUGACGGGUAGGGGGCGUGAGAGCGUGGCCCCCCACAAGGUCACUGAGACACGGGGCCUACACCUACGGGUGGCAGCAACCGGGAAUAUUGCGCAAUGGGCGAAAGCCUGACGCAGCGACACCGCGUGUGGGAAGAAUCAUUUCGGUGUGUAAACCACUGUGGCGAGGGAAGAAGAUCUGACGGUACCUCGCUAGAAAGCACCUGCUAACUACGUGCCAGAAGCCUCGGUAAUACGUAGGGUGCAAGCGUUAUCCGGAUUUACUGGGCGUAAAGGGUUCCGCAGGCGGAAGAAUGCGUGAAGGGUUAAAGACCACGGCUCAACUGUGGGAGUGCUCUUCAUACGAUUCUUCUAGAGUAUGUUCGGGGAGACUGGAAUUCUCGGUGGAGGGGUGAAAUCCGUUGAUAUCGAGAGGAACGCCAAGGGCGAAGGCAGGUCUCUAGGACAUUACUGACGCUCAGGGACGAAAGCUUGGGUAGCAAAGCGGAUUAGAGACCCGUGUAGUCCAAGCCGUAAACGAUGGAUACUAGCUGGGCACUUUUGUGUCUGGCGUAAGCUAACGCGUUAAGUACCCCGCCUGGGGAGUACGG
rnacentral:rRNA from 1 species